UUCUUCCGCUUUCAAUGCAUGCGCCCGUUUUUCUCGUACGCUCCGCAGUUUAAAACUUUCUGUGCCUGAGAAUGUUCCGGUAGUGUCGAAAAAGCUGUGGAAAGGCUGUGUGGUGUGGCGACUCGAGCAAUACCAGGGCGAAAUUUUGGCGUUACCCAGUGGACGAGCGAUAUACGCUAAAUAUGUCAACCGAACUUACUACUACGUAUGGGUACAAUACGUCUAACGCCAUUCAAUACCAGCUACCUGAUUGCACGCUUCUAAAUAAUACAAUUAUCUUUACUAGUAACGAAUGCACACUUAUGAGUGUCCAAUAUGGAAAUGAAAGCAUUGGCUACAGUGACAGCCAAGGAUGUGAACUGUGGGCCAGCGAGGAACACCUCAAAAAUGACACUGUCCCUUUAUGCUGUUACUUUUUAUUUGAUAUGCUUUGUGCGCAGCAAGGAACCUACGACCCAUACGAAAAGAAGAACUGCACCAGUGACUAAGUGGUGACUGUUGCUUUAUGAUAUCAAGGAUUUCACGUUUACAGCGCAACAGAUAAGGUUAACAUUUGUCAUAGAGUGUUAGUCACGUGUUGCACUGAGACGCGCAGGUGUGUUGAUUCUGUAUGUACAGGAAAAUUCGUAUUUCAAAUAAACUUUACUCGCUAAUUGCAACACU